UAUGCAAGGAGUUGUUGCUGGUAAUGUCAUGUUGCAUGUGCACACUCUGGAGCUAUAUAACAUAUAUAACACCUGUGAACCAACUGUAGUUAGAAGCAAUUCUAACUAUGACAACUCUAUAAUAACUCUUUAUGUGUUACAUAGAACGAAAUCAUAAUUGAAACUUUCUCUCUCUCUCUCUCUCUUAUGCGUGUGUAGAGUUUGUUUCUCUUAAUAAAACAAUAUACAACUUUCAACAACGGAUCUCUUGGCUCUUGCAUCGAUGAAGAACGCAGCGAAAUGCGAUAAGUAAUGUGAAUUGCAGAAUCCAGUGAAUCAUCGAAUCUUUGAACGCACCUUGCGCCCUUUGGUAUUCCGAGGGGCAUGCCUGUUUGAGAGUCAUUAAAUUAUCAACCUUAUAAAUUUUAUUUUUUGUAAGGCUUGGAUGUGAGAGUUGCUAGUCUUUCUUUUGACUGGCUCUCUUUAAAAUGAUUAGUAGGAGACAUGUAGAAAUGCCUACGGUUGGUGUGAUAAUUAUCUGUCUACGCCUAUACCAAAAGGGGAAUUCUAGCUUUUGUGUAUUCUACUUAUAAAAACCAAUGCGCAUAUAUUGUGCAUAUAUUGACUAUUUGACCUCAAAUCAGGUAGGACUACCCGCUGAACUUAAGCAUAUCAA
rnacentral:rRNA from 1 species